rnacentral:rRNA from 1 species
AGAGUUGAUCAUGGCUCAGAACGAACGCUGGUGGCGUGUCUUAUACAUGCAAGUCGAGCGAGGCAGCAAUGCCGAGCGGCGAACGGGUGAGUAACGCGUAAGCAAUCUGCCCCAUAUCAGGAAAUACCCGUGCCAACGCGCGGUUAAUGUCCAGGAGAGUGGCCCUCCGCAUGGAGGGCUGACUAGAGAUUCAUCGGUAUGGGAUGAGCUUGCGUCCGAUUAGCUAGUUGGCGGGGCAACGGCCCACCAAGGCGACGAUCGGUAGCCGGCCUGAGAGGGUGAUCGGCCACAUUGGGACUGAGAUACGGCCCAGACUCCUACGGGAGGCAGCAGUAGGGAAUAUUGCACAAUGGGGGAAACCCUGAUGCAGCAACGCCACGUGUGGGAAGAAGCAUUUCGGUGUGUAAACCACUGUCAUGAGGGAAUAAGGCCCGCCUUCGGACGGGAUUGAAUGUACCUUGAGAGGAAGCACCGGCAAACUUCGUGCCAGCCGCGGC